rnacentral:rRNA from 1 species
UACGGGGGGGGCAAGCGUUGUUCGGAAUUACUGGGCGUAAAGGGCUCGUAGGUGGCCAACUAAGUCAGACGUGAAAUCCCUCGGCUUAACCGGGGAACUGCGUCUGAUACUGGAUGGCUUGAGUUUGGGAGAGGGAUGCGGAAUUCCAGGUGUAGCGGUGAAAUGCGUAGAUAUCUGGAGGAACACCUGAGGCGAAGGGGGGCUACUGGGCCGAUACUGACGCUGAGGCGCGAAAGCCAGGGGAGCAAACGGG